AGUGAGUUCUCAGCGCCUCCCGCCGCGCAGGCUCGGCGUUGGCCUCCGCGGCCCGUGCGAGUGCGCCCUUCUCGGGUCCCCUAGGUCGCGGGGCAGCCGGGGCGGAAGGGGCUUGUUCAUUAUUUUGAGAGUUUGUUGUGAACGUCAUAACCUUUCGUCCUUAAAUAUUGCCGAUACUUGACCUACGCAAGAGACAAUGUCAUGUGAUUCAGCCUAAUAUCUCAACUGCUGUGAUUGCACCUGCCAUCUUAUGCAGAAAUGACCUGAAGACAGACUGAAACAACGUGUUCUACAGCCUGAAAAUAUCUACCUUGACUUACAGUUUUAUUAAUGCUGGUGUGAUCAGACUGGACAAAAAUUAGCAUAUGUUAUUAACUGAUCUAAUUCAAGUGCCAAUUCUUAAUAGAAACACAAAACAAUAAAAGCAAUUCAGAAAAUA
rnacentral:lncRNA from 1 species